rnacentral:piRNA from 1 species
UAUCCAUCCCUCGUCAUGUGCUUGAAGUGU